rnacentral:tRNA from 1 species
UCAUCUACCAUACAAUUACUAGGAGCUGAAAAAUCAUUAUUUCAAGCUUUAAAAAAAAAAACAAAAACUCCAAA